CAGAGAGGGAGGCAGAGAGAGAGAGCCUGCUGCAGUAAAAACACCAACACCAACCGCCGCCGCCGCCGCCGCUGCUGCUGCUGCUGAGAAAACCUACAGCACCCAAACGCACCGCGCCGGGCGGGUUUGGUUUUAUCCUCCAGGUGUGUGAAGGAGGAACAACCGCGAAACGCAGGGAGGGAGGGGAAGGAGAAAAUCCAGCAACGUCGAUGAUUUGAUCCGCAGUUUAUCUCGGACAUAUCGCGGAGGAGUCUGCCGCUGCACACGGUGUUUCGGUCGGUCCACCUUAACGGGGGAAAAAAAAAGGAUAAGAAACCACCGGAGAUAUCUGCGGAGACGGACAGCUCUGUUUGGGGUAUAUUCUCGUUUUUCCGCCUACGGACGGGAGCAAUCUUUCCCCCGGAGCUUUGGUGUUUACGCGGCCGCUGCAGAGAGCGAGGCGAGCGGGGAGGAAGACGCGGUGUAGCCGGGGGAGGAGCGGCCGCACGGAGCAGGUUUCUCGGGGAAUCUUUUUAUUUCUUUCUUUUAAAAAGGGGUUAAAAAUUUAAAUAUCACGGUGCGGUGAUAUUAUCCGGAGGACUCUACAGCACACCUUUACCGACACCUCCGUCUACACAGAUGGGUUAAAAACACCCCGGUGCUGUUGUUCCGGAGAGCAGCCCCGCGCGCACACCUGCUCCCCUCCAGACCCGCGGGGGCUGGAUGAUGUAGCCCCCCCCCGCCUCUGCAUCACCAGCACUAUCCUCUAAGUCUCCACCUCCAGUGGUGGAAUGUAAUCAAGUACAUUUAGUCGAGUACUGCACUCAAGGAGACAAAUUUAAGUGUCUCUCCAGCCGCCCAGCGUCCCAACAUGCCGGCGGGGAUGAAACCGCUGGAGAAGUUCCUGAAGAAGCAGACCACGGCGCUGACCCGGGCCGGGGGGUUUGUCGGCGGGGUGGCGGACAAGGCCAGCGGGGGGACGGGGGCGUCCCGCCGGAGGGCCAGUCUGUCCCGGGUCGUUCCUUUCUUCAGGGAGACGUCACCGGAGAGCGGCCAGGCCCGGGAGGUGUUCAGCCCCGACAGUGAGGACCCCCCCCUCCUGGCCCUCAGCCACAGGGCCUGGUGUCGUCCCGGCGCCCGGCAGCGCUAACGGCUCCGGAGACGUCCGCAGCCCGUCUCUGUCCAGCGACGAGCAGAGCUCCGAGGCCAGUCUGAUCACGGAGAGCGGCAGCGGGGGCGGGACGCCCCUUCCUCCCGACACACCGGACAACCUGACCCUCGCUCUGCUGGACAGCGCGGCGGGAAAACGCUCUGGGGUCUGCACAGGUGAGACGGGAGACUUUUUGAUUGUUUCUAAUGUAGCUGCAUGGAAGGCCACGGGCCAAAAAUAAAUUGG
rnacentral:lncRNA from 1 species